rnacentral:rRNA from 1 species
UACGAAGGGGGCUAGCGUUGCUCGGAAUCACUUGGGCGUAAAGGGUGCGUAGGCGGGUCUUUAAGUCAGGGGUGAAAUCCUGGAGCUCAACUCCAGAACUGCCUUUGAUACUGAGGAUCUUGAGUUCGGGAGAGGUGAGUGGAACUGCGAGUGUAGAGGUGAAAUUCGUAGAUAUUCGCAAGAACACCAGUGGCGAAGGCGGCUCACUGGCCCGAUACUGACGCUGAGGCACGAAAGCGUGGGGAGCAAACAGG